rfam:Hymenolepis nana genome assembly, scaffold: HNAJ_scaffold0001697
GGGGUGUGUGUUAGACUUACCUCUACGUGGUUCACCCUGGGCAACGUAUUAUUCAUACGGCAAAAAAGUCUAU